rnacentral:rRNA from 1 species
UACGAAGGGGGCUAGCGUUGUUCGGAUUUACUGGGCGUAAAGCGCACGUAGGCGGUUUGUUAAGUCAGGGGUGAAAUCCCAGAGCUCAACUCUGGAACUGCCUUUGAUACUGGCAAGCUCGAGUCCGGAAGAGGUAAGUGGAACUCCUAGUGUAGAGGUGGAAUUCGUAGAUAUUAGGAAGAACACCAGUGGCGAAGGCGGCUUACUGGUCCGGAACUGACGCUGAGGUGCGAAAGCGUUGGGAGCAAACAGG